GACGCACGGGUGCGUAACACGUAUGCAACCUACCCUUUACAGGGGUAUAGCUCGGGGAAACUCGAAUUAAGACCCCAUAAUAUAAUUGGAUGGCAUCAUUUGAUUAUUAAAACUGAGGUGGUAAAGGAUGGGCAUGCGUCUGAUUAGUUAGUUGGUAGUGUAACGGACUACCAAGGCGAUGAUCAGUAGGGGAACUGAGAGGUUGAUCCCCCACACUGGCACUGAGAUACGGGCCAGACUCCUACGGGAGGCAGCAGUAGGGAAUAUUGGUCAAUGGGUGAGAGCCUGAACCAGCCAUGCCGCGUGCAGGAAGACGGCCUUCUGGGUUGUAAACUGCUUUUGCCAGGGGCUAAAAGGCCCAUGCGUGGGAAAUUGAAAGUACCUGGUGAAUAAGCCACGGCUAACUACGUGCCAGCAGCCGCGGUAAUACGUAGGUGGCAAGCGUUGUCCGGAUUUAUUGGGUUUAAAGGGUGCGUAGGCGGCUCUGUAAGUCAGUGCUGAAAUAUCCCGGCUUAACUGGGAGGGUGGCAUUGAUACUGUGGAGCUAGAGUACAGAUGAGGUAGGCGGAAUUGACGGUGUAGCGGUGAAAUGCUUAGAUAUCGUCAAGAACACCUAUAGCGAAGGCAGCUUACUAGGCUGUAACUGACGCUGAGGCACGAAAGUGUGGGGAUCAAACAGGAUUAGAUACCCUGGUAGUCC
rnacentral:rRNA from 1 species